UCUAUUUUUAGUAUCAGGUUAACCAGCAGUGAUAUAACUCCCGGGUAGUACAUAAAGCGUCUACGUUGAAACCUUGCCCCAGAACACCAGACGCUACAUAGCCGGGUACACCUCGGACAGCGACUGUGAUCAUACAAGGAGGAUAUACCUGUGUGUUUGUGUGUUAUUCUGGGCUACUGUAGUCCAUCAUGAGUCCAGGCAGGUGAACUGUUCGAGGGAAUAACAUGGAGGACGGGAGUACUACACAGUCCCGUGUGAUGUAUACAGGAAGGAUUACUAAGGAGGCAUUAGAAGAAUACUUGGAACGUAGGAGACAACGCUUGGUAAGUACCUUUAUCAGACACUUCAUCCACCUACCAUACAGUGUACCAGAUCAGUAAUAGUACAUGUCAGCUGACAGGAGAAGUGCAGUAUGGUGUAGUGUCUGUGUACCUGUAGUUGUAUAACAGUGGCCUAAUGUUACCAGCCGGUGUCCCGUAAAUAUGCCAGAGAUGUUUCGUUUCACCUCAGCACAUCUACAGUUUCGUUCGCAUAUGGUUUUCAACUUCUUUAUUCCUCCAAUAAAGUUUUUUUUCUGUGUGUGUGUUAGCUGUAAACUGUUUCAAAUGCUUAAUAAAAAUACUAUUAUCUGUGUCGAAA